CGUUGUAACCCGAAAGAAAGCCUUUAAUUACGGCCGGAUUUCGCGAUUCAGAAAGCUAGCUGGAAGGAAAAUAAUCAGGAGAUGAUGAUCAUGAACUUUCUUUAACCAUGCUAAGCUUGUGUCUUGAGUUUGCAAGAUUUGUUCUUUUCUGACAUUUGUUCUUUUCAAGCUGUUUGAGGGGUUUUUCAAUGUUGUUCUUCAUUUCUAAUGUUUGGUGUCCGUGUUUCUUGUGUUGGUCGCUGGUCUCUUGGUAUGUCAACAUCAUCUAGUGCCUGGGGUAUACCUGGAACCAGAAGCAAAGGUUUUACAGCACUGGGAGACAGCCGUCAAGUUGAUUCUGGCCAGAGAAGCUUUGAUAACGAAAUUAGAAGAUUUCGAGAGACUGGCUUCGGACCCAAACCGUUUCUUCGA